GCCGUUGUCCCCUGGCAAAAGAGGCCCAGUGCUGAGCCCUGGGCAAGUGUCUCCAGACAUCCCUACCUUUUCUCCCUUUUAUUAGUUUUCUUUCCCAACAGAACCCAUUUACUUUGCCACUAAAACUAGGUUGCAUCCAAAAGUUUCUAAACAAGCUUAAAAAAGAAAAAUUGACACCAUUAUACAGAAGAAUUCACAAAAGCUGCAGAGCGCCAGGGCAGAGAAGCAGCGACAGACACAGGCCCAGGACACACAGGACGGAUGUUUCCAAGUCACUCGAGGGACACAUGCCUGUGUCUCAGAAGUUGCUUCCCUGCCUCUACUCUGUGAAUUUCCCAAACUCUCUAACUCUGAUUCAUCUUCAUUCACUCUUCCCUGUAGUUUGUGUGUAAAGAGCCCUUAAAGCAAUAUGGUGGAGGGUAAGAGUUGUGAGCCGGUGGCAGGCAAGGCCUAAACUUGGUACAGCAAAGGAAAUUUCGUGGUACUUGCUCCUGAGUCUGGGAAUCACAGGCUAGCCAGCCUCUCCCCUAUUACUAGGAAACAGUAGAACUUAGGGAAAUGGAUGAUUCCAUGUUUAAGAGGCCUGAAAUUGUAUACUUGGCAUUUCUGAUUUCAGUUCUAAAAUUCUGUCCCUUCGUCAUAGAGAAAAUGAGAAAUGUAGUUACAACUUUUCAUUACAAAAACGUUGCAUUAAGAGAAAUGGAGAAUCAUGCCCACAUAAAACAUGUAUAGAAGUGUUCAUGAUUUGAUCAGGGCUGGGGAUAUAGCUCAGACAUCCGGCGCUUGCACAGCAAUGUGCAUAACCCAAGGUUCAAGCCCCAGCACUGACAAAGAGAAGCAGAAGGAGCGGAGGUAUUCACAGCAGCCUUUUCAAUAUAGGCAUGAAAGGGAGAGUUUACAUGCCGGUUGAGGAAUGGAGAGUGUAAAAUGGCUUGUCUAUAAAACUGGAUUCUGGUCAUCAGUAGAGAGGUCUGAAGUGAUAGAUAUGGUGGAUGAGUCUUUAAACAUCUUCCUGAGUAAUGAAGCCAACCAGAAGAAAGGCAGAUACUCCGUAUCUCUGGAGUAUAUAGGUAAACCAUUAUAGAGAAAAAGCACCAUACUGGUUACCUGGACUUGGAGUGAUGAACAGACUUUGGGAGACAGCAGAGUGGAACAGAAUUUACUUGAGUGGUGAUAAAAAAAAAAGUUCUUGAAUUAACGGAAGUGAUGCUUGCUCCACUUGAUUGCUGCAUUUAAAAACCACUGAAUUUUACCUUUGGAUGGGUGAAUUCAUUGUAUUUCAAUAAAGCCAUGAAUAU